rnacentral:rRNA from 1 species
CACGUAGGGCGCAAGCGUUAUCCGGAAUUAUUGGGCGUAAAGAGCUCGUAGGCGGUUUGUCGCGUCUGCCGUGAAAGUCCGGGGCUCAACUCCGGAUCUGCGGUGGGUACGGGCAGACUAGAGUGAUGUAGGGGAGACUGGAAUUCCUGGUGUAGCGGUGAAAUGCGCAGAUAUCAGGAGGAACACCGAUGGCGAAGGCAGGUCUCUGGGCAUUAACUGACGCUGAGGAGCGAAAGCAUGGGGAGCGAACAGG